rnacentral:rRNA from 1 species
UUUAUCAAAAACAUCGCUAUAUGUUUGAUAAGUUUAUAGUCGGUUCUGCCCACUGAAUUAUAUUUAAAGGGCUGCGGUAAUUUGACCGUGCAAAGGUAGCAUAAUCAUUUGUCCUUUAAUUGGGGGCUUGCAUGAACGAGCUGACGAGAGUAAAUCUAUUUAUAUUAUUGUUGUUGAAUUUGACUUUUAACUGAAAAGGGUUGAAUAUAAUAGGGGGGCGAUAAGACCCUAUAAAAUUUUAUAGUUAAUUAAUUUAUGUUAGAUUUAUAAAUAAUAUAAAUUAUAUAUUAUUGAGCUGGGGCGGUAUAAAUAUAAUAAAACUGUUUUUAUAUUGGUUAUGAUCAUUAUUAGAUUUAGAUCCUUGUUAGGAAAAAGAUUAAAUUACUUUAGGGAUAACAGCGUAAUAAUUUCUUAGAGUUGAUAUCGAUGAUAUUAGUUGCGACCUCGAUGUUGAAUUAAGAUUUCGUUUAGGGGCAGGUUUUUAAAAUGUAAGUCUGUUCGACUUAUAAAAUCUUACAUGAUUUGAGUUCAAGCCGGAGUGAGCCAGGUGGGUUUCUAUCUAA